rnacentral:tRNA from 1 species
GCCCGGAUGGCGGAACUGGUAUACGCGUUCGACUUAAAAUCGAAUGGAGCAAUCCGUGCGGGUUCGAUUCCCGCUCCGGGCACCA